rnacentral:rRNA from 1 species
CCCUUAGAUGUUCUGGGCCGCACGCGCGCUACACUGAUGCAUUCAACGAGUCUAAAACCUGGUCUGAUAGGGCUGGGUAAUCUUUUGAAAGUGCAUCGUGAUUGGGAUAGAUGAUUGCAAUUCUUCAUCUUCAACGAGGAAUGCCUAGUAAACGCAAGUCAUCAGCUUGCAUUGAUUACGUCCCUGCCCUUUGUACACACCGCCCGUCGCUCCUACCGAUUGAAUGAUCCGAUGAAUACCAUGGAUUGAGAGUUCGAAUAGGUUCGCCUAUUUCAGCGUCUCGAGAAGUGGAGUAAAUCUUAUCAUUUAGAGGAAGGAGAAGUCGUAACA